rnacentral:lncRNA from 1 species
UUCAACUUUCUGUUCUUGGGCAUGGUGUAGGUGUAGAUCUGUCUAUUUGAUCCGCGAUUUUGUUAAACAUCUAAACCUUUCAAACAGAGAUCUCAAUGCCAAAUGUUUUGAAUUAGUCUGUCAUUUGUUGAGGGAGCAGUGAAUCUUAGUUAUGCUCGUACAAAAUAUCGAUACCUGUUGAGCUGGGCUGUUGUUAUCAAAAGUUAAUAUUUCACUCUUAUGAACUUAACAAAUAGAGUUUUCAUUAUAGGAGUUUCUUUGGUCUUUGUCAAGUGAAACAAUCUCCAAAGAAGCUAUGAACUUUGGUUUUCGCUCAGCAUUUUCUUGUUAAUCCUUACUUAUGAUCUUGUCAUGCUAUACAACAAUAUCUUCUUGCUCAUGAACUGGUCUAUUGCUGGUUUUUACGAUUCUGAGUUGGUAAUCGGUUCUACCUAUUUCAGGUGAGACUUGGGAAGAACGGCGUGGAGGAAGUCCUAGGGGUGGGCCUACUUUCAGACUACGAGAACAAAGGACUCAAAGCUCUUCUACCGGAGUUGAAAUCCUCCAUUGAGAAAGGAAUCAAGUUUGCCAACUCAAAUUAAAAUUGGGCCCACUUUCAGACUACGAGAAGAAAGGACUUGAAGCUCUUCUACCAGAGCUGAAAUCCUCCAUUGAGAAAGGAAUCAAGUUUGCCAACUCCAAUUAAAAGAAAUAUUACCAUCUAGUUUUUUCCAAAGUUACAGUUUUGGGAUUCUUGUAGGCAGUUCUGUUGUAUCUUAUGCGAGUUUCUUGCUGCCGGAGGCAUAAAAUUUAGCUCUUUCUGAGCCAGAUGGGCUUUAGGUAUACACAACAUUUCUGGAGAAUAAUGAUUGGCAGACCUUGCAUUUGCCUUUACAUCCCAAAAUAACGUCUACAACAUGUCAACUAUUAUUGUCACUUUCAACUCCAAAUUAGUUUAAUUCGAGUUUGUUUCAUUUGUCAAAUCAGGUCUCAGAUAUUAGUUCCUUAACGACCCGGACUUGUUAUUUCGAAGCAGCACUGCCUCGUGGAAAACCUCGGACGGGGAUACUGGUUCUGAAAUAUGAUAAUACAGCUCUAUAAUGUUACCUAGCGCACCAUUCAACAGACCUUGCAUUUGCCUUUACAUCCCAAAAUAACGUCUACAACAUGUCAACUAUUAUUGUCACUUUCAACUCCAAAUUAGUUUAAUUCGAGUUUGUUUCAUUUGUCAAAUCAGGUCUCAGAUAUUAGUUCCUUAACGACCCGGACUUGUUAUUUCGAAGCAGCACUGCCUCGUGGAAAACCUCGGACGGGGAUACUGGUUCUGAAAUAUGAUAAUACAGCUCUAUUAUGUUACCUAGCGCACCAUUCAACAGUUCUUUUUUCCUUGGGUACUUUUUUUUUUCUUGCAAAUACUAGAUGGUGUUGCUAUUGUUUU